rnacentral:rRNA from 1 species
CAAAGUACUUUGAAGAGAGAGUUAAACAGGGCGUGAAACCGCUAGCUGGUAAACGAGUGGAGCCACGAAGUCGUUUCGUAGAACAAAGCGCACAGAUUCAGUUUAUGUAAUUCCUGAAAUAUGCGAAUUGCAUAGAUGCAUUUCUGUUUGUGCUUCUAUGUAUGCGUACACUGCAACCAAUUAGACGAUCAAUUGUGGAAACAGUUAGUCGAAAUAUGCAGCAAUGUAUUUAUCAAUUAACGAAAUGUUUAUAUAUUCCAUGUAGGUAGCCUGGUAGGACACUUGUUGUUCUAUUGGGUGUCUGACGUGCGUAAUAUGAGAACUACAAUUGAAUACUGAUUGGCACAAAGAAAAUCCAUUCGCAAGAAUGGUUUUUAGAUAAUACUACUUAUUUUGUAUAUGUGUACAAGUAUUUAUUACUGGUGUAAGCUUAGUAGUUUUAAAUUUAGACUAUCUGGCUAUCUAGGGUUUCGGCCUUGGAUGCUUGUUUAGCUUUCUAUCUAAUUGGCUGCUGACUUCACUUUUAAUUUUGUGCUUGCUAUGUUAGCAUGUAUGCAAAAAUAGGCAAGUCAUCUUAUUGGCAGUGAGUAGGUCGGCUUUCCACACGACCC